rnacentral:lncRNA from 10 species
UUGAAGAGGAAAAUAGAUAAUGCAUAUUCCUAGGAUCUGAGAGAUGUUUGAGGUGAGGGGGAAUGAGAGGCUCUCCUUUGAAAGAAGCAGCAGGGGGUACUGAAACAGAGUAGAAGAGUGUGAAAGCUGGUGGGGUUGUUGUUGUUGUUGUUUUUAGUCCUAAGUUAGUGGCAUGAAAGCACUGCCCUGGAAGCGAUGGAGCAGCAAGUGCUCUACCCACAUGGAAGUCUUUGGGACCUGCACUUCAAUGAGCGCAGAGAGGAAAAGGAGAGAAGAACCAACACAACUGAAGCACCUACGAGCGUCAGGCACUGGCCCAGCUGCCAUGGACCCCCGAGUUGAAGGUCGUAUAACCUCAGCCUGCCCAAAUGAACCAAGCACACAACCACAGGGGGAACCCAAGAGUUCCAGUGGGAGAGCUGGAAGAGGAGGGACCAAUGUGAGAAGUGGACACCAUAUGGCAGGAUCCAGGAUCCAAUCAGACUGAGCCCUGGGGUCACCCCAUGGAAGGAUCCAGUUGGAUCAUGCCUCCUGGCAUCACCUACUGCAAGAUCCAAUCAGAUCACACCUCCUUACCCUAUGCUUAUAAAACCCCACCCAGCCCCCAGCCCGAAGAUACAGAUUUGAGUAUUUC